rnacentral:rRNA from 1 species
AGUUGCGAAGGCGGCUCUCUGGACUGUAACUGACGCUGAGGCACGAAAGCGUGGUGAGCAAACAGGAUUAGAUACCCUGGUAGUCCACGCUGUAAACGAUGAGUACUAGGUGUCGGGGGUUACCCCCUUCGGUGCCGCAGCUAACGCAUUAAGUACUCCGCCUGGGAAGUACGCUCGCAAGAGUGAAACGCAAAGGAAUUGACGGGGACCCGCACAAGUAGCGGAGCAUGUGGUUUAAUUCGAAGCAACGCGAAGAACCUUACCUAAGCUUGACAUCCCAAUGACAUCUCCUUAAUCGGAGAGUUCCCUUCGGGGACAUUGGUGACAGGUGGUGCAUGGUUGUCGUC